rnacentral:rRNA from 1 species
GUAGGGAAUCUUCCACAAUGGACGAAAGCCUGAUGGAGCAACGCCGCGUGAGUGAAGAAGGUCUUCGGAUCGUAAAACUCUGUUGUUAGAGAAGAACGUGCGUGAUAGUAACUGAUCAUGUAAUGACGGUAUCUAACCAGAAAGCCACGUCUAACUACGUGCCAGCAGCCGCGGUAAUACUAAGGUGGCAAGCGUUGACCGGAUUUAUUGUGCGUAAAGGGAACGCAGGCGGUUUUGUAAGUAUGAGGUGAAAGCCUUCGGCUUAACCGAAGAAUAGCAUUGGAAACUGGAAGACUUGAGUGCAGAAGAGGAGAGUGGAAUUCCAUGUGUAGCGGUGAAAUGCGUAGAUAUAUGGAGGAACACCAGUGGCGAAGGCGGCUCUCUGGUCUGUUACUGACGCUGAGGUUCGAAAGCGUGGGUAGCAAACAGGAUUAGAUACCCCUGUAGUCC